AUGGCACAGGCACCUGUCAUGGCUUUGCCCAAUUUUUCCGAGCCCUUCACCGUGGAAACUGAUGCUUGUGACACUGGAGUGGGGGCAGUGUUAAUGCAGAAAGGGCAUCCAAUUGCAUACAUGAGCAAGGCUCUUGGGAUACUUAACUGUAAAAUGUCCAUCUACGAAAAAGAAUUCCUUGCUGUGAUUAUGGCUGUGGAUAAGUGGCGUCCUUAUUUACAGCGCGACCCAUUUCAGAUAGUCACCGAUCAUAAGAGCCUCUGCAACCUAGAGGAUCAAAUUUUGACUACUGAUUUGCAACACAAGGCAAUGGCCAAUCUCAUGGGUUUACAGUUUCAGAUUAAGUACAGAAAGGGCAGUGAUAAUGGUGCUGCUGAUUCCUUGUCUCAAGUGGGCCAUUUAUUGGAAGCACAUGCCAUUUCCACCUUGCAACCUGAUUGGGUCCAGGAGGUUUCCAAUUCCUAUGUCACUGACACAGUGGCCACUCAGUUAUUACAAGAACUGGCAAUUCAAUCUCCUAAUGCAAAAGGUUAUGCAUUGAAGAAAGGCCUCAUUACUUACAAAGGCAGAAUGUAUAUUGGUGCAAAUCUUGCCCUACAAACUAAGCUGAUAGCAGCUCACCAUGAUACUGCAGUGGGAGGCCAUUCAGGUAUUUAG
rnacentral:rRNA from 1 species